CCCUUCGAUGUUCUGGGCUGCACGCGCGCUACAAUGACAAAUUCAACAAGUUUAUUUAAAUCGCUGUUUUGAAAAAAUUGGCAAAUCUUUUGAAAUUUUGUCGUACUAUGGAUUGUUGAUUGAAAUUAUUCGACAUGAAAAAGGAAUACCUAGUAAAUGUGAUUCAUCAAAUUGCAUUGAUUAUGUCCCUGCCCUUUGUACACACCGCCCGUCGCUCCUACCGAUUGAAUGCUCAGGUGAGCCAUUCGGACUUUCAUCAUGCUGGUUUCCAGUUUUGAUGAAGGAAAGUCUUGCGAACCUUAUCAUUUAGAGGAAGGAGAAGUCGUAACA
rnacentral:rRNA from 1 species